GAUGAACGCUGGCGGCGUGCCUAAUACAUGCAAGUCGAGCGAACAGACGAGGAGCUUGCUCCUUUGACGUUAGCGGCGGACGGGUGAGUAACACGUAGGUAACCUACCUAUAAGACUGGGAUAACUUCGGGAAACCGGAGCUAAUACCGGAUAAUAUUUCGAACCGCAUGGUUCGAUAGUGAAAGAUGGCUUUGCUAUCACUUAUAGAUGGACCUGCGCCGUAUUAGCUAGUUGGUAAGGUAACGGCUUACCAAGGCAACGAUACGUAGCCGACCUGAGAGGGUGAUCGGCCACACUGGAACUGAGACACGGUCCAGACUCCUACGGGAGGCAGCAGUAGGGAAUCUUCCGCAAUGGGCGAAAGCCUGACGGAGCAACGCCGCGUGAGUGAUGAAGGUCUUCGGAUCGUAAAACUCUGUUAUUAGGGAGGAACAAACGUGUGAGUAACUGUGCACGUCUUGACGGUACCUAAUCAGAAAGCCACGGCUAACUACGUG
rnacentral:rRNA from 1 species